ACCCUCGCAGCACGACGGACGUGCGGCGGUCUACGAAGCCGGCGGUUGAAGGUUCGAAUCCUUCCGGGGGUG
rnacentral:tRNA from 1 species